rnacentral:rRNA from 1 species
ACUGGAGGAAGGUGGGGAUGACGUCAAAUCAUCAUGCCCCUUAUGACCUGGGCUACACACGUGCUACAAUGGAUGGUACAAAGGGCUGCAAGACCGCGAGGUCAAGCCAAUCCCAUAAAACCAUUCUCAGUUCGGAUUGUAGGCUGCAACUCGCCUACAUGAAGCUGGAAUCGCUAGUAAUCGCGGAUCAGCAUGCCGCGGUGAAUACGUUCCCGGGCCUUGUACACACCGCCCGUCACACCACGAGAGUUUGUAACACCCGAAGUCGGUGGAGUAACCGUAAGGAGCUAG